rnacentral:rRNA from 1 species
AGUCACCGGCGAAAUGCUUAGUAACACGUUACUAAUCUGCCCAUAAGUCUUGGAUAGCCUUGGGAAACUGAGGGUAAUACGAGAUAGAACAUACAUUCUGGAAUGAAGUAUGUUCCAAAGAUUUAUCGCUUAUGGAUGAGGUAGCGGCUGAUUAGCUUGUUGGUAGGGUAAUGGCCUACCAAGGCGAUGAUCAGUAGGGGCCAUGAAAGUGGUAGCCCCAAGAAGGACACUGAGAUACUGGUCCUAGCCCUACGGGGUGCAGCAGGCGCGAAACCUCUACAAUGCACGAAAGUGUGAUAGGGGAAUUCGAAGUGCUCAUGGAUUCCAUGGGCUUUUCUUAAGAGUAAAUAUCUUUUGGAAUAAGUGGUGGGCAAGACUGGUGCCAGCAGCCGCGGUAACACCAGCGCCACGAGUGGCAAUCGCAUAUUGAGCCUAAAGCGUUCGUAGUCGGCUUGGUAAAUCUUUCGUGAAACUGUUCAGCUUAACUGAACAAUGUGCGGGAGACACUGCCUUGCUUGGAACCGGGAGGAGUUAAGAGUAUUCUAGGGGGAGCGGUAAAAUGUGAUAAUCCCUGAAGGACUACCUGUGGCGAAGGCGCUUAACUAGGAACGGAUUCGACGAUGAGGAACGAAGGCUAGGGGAGCAAAACGGAUUAGAUACCCGAGUAGUCCUAGCAGUAAACGCUGCGAGCCAGGUGUUGUGCAUUCUUUGAAUGUGCAGUAUCGAAGCGAAGGCGAUAAGCUCGCCGCCUGGGAAGUACGGUCGCAAGGCUGAAACUUAAAGGAAUUGGCGGGGGAGCACUACAACGGGUGCGACGUGCGAUUUAAUCUAAUUCCACACAGAAAAUCUCACCAAAGGCGCCGGCAGGAUGAUAGUCGUGUUAAAGACACUACUGGACGAGCCGAGAGGUAGUGCAUGGCCGCCGUCAGCUCGUGCCGUAAGGUGUCCUGUUAAGUCAGGCAACGAGCGAGACCUACAUCUACAAUUGGCAGCAACAAAUUCGUUUGGUUUGGUCACAUUGUAGAGACUGCCCGUGAAAACGGGAGGAAGGUGUAGGCAACGGUAGGUCUGUAUGCUCCGAAUCCUUUGGGCUAUACGCGCGUAACAAUGGUCAAGACAAUGGGCUGCUACUCCGAAAGGAGGCGCUAAUCCUCGAAACUUGGUCCUAGUUCAGAUUGAGGGUUGGAACUCACCCUCAUGACGCUGGAAUCCGUAGUA